CUGGGAGGCACCAGCUCUGGGGGGCUGCUGCAAGGCCCCUGCCCCCACUGUCCUCUCGCUCAGAUCUAGAGCCCCAAGACCAGCCUAGGUCUGCUUGUUGAUUCUCCUCCGUGAGUACCAGCCAGAACCAUUGCACUGACUGGGGUAAGAAGGCUAAGGACUUGAAUUUCUUCACUUCUUUCGUUGAUAGAUACGGGGUUAAGUGGUGAGCAUUUUCAUCCACAUACAGGGCUUAAAUCGGUGCUUGACAAUAGUUGAUACCCAAACAUCAGCCAGGAUUAUAAGACAGUUAGUGUUAGUUCUUUUUUAAGAAAACAUUCUUUAUUUGGCUGCACUGGGUCUUGUGGCAUGUGGAAUCUUUAGUCCCCUGACCAGGAAACCUGGGCCCCCUGCAUUGGGGGUGCAGAGUCUUAGCCACUGGAUCCCCAGGGAAGUCUCUAGUGCUGGCUCUUGCUCGGAAAAGGAACCCUAUUAUCGUGGGACCAUUAUGCCUAUUUAGCAGAUAAGGAAACUGAGGGUCUUGCCCAAUAUCUCACUGCAAGUGAGUGGUUGGUUAGGACGUCAGUUCAAUAUCCCCCCACCUGUUUUGGAGCAUCAGGGCAGGGCUCAGAUGAUGAUCAAGGGAAGAGGAGAGUCUGGUGUCUAUCCCAGGCCAGCUCUGAUCAGAGGUCCAGAAGGGUCUGGGGACUCACAUGAAGGUGCAGAUGGGGCAGGCCCUGCCCCCGGACAGUUGAGUUCACUUGGGGAGGCACCACUCAUGAUGCUCAGCCACCUCAAAGCUGGUCACAUGCAGUGCAGGCUUCAUGCCCGAGCUGCCAGUCAUCACUGUCCCAGGUCAGGCACCAGCCCCGUAGGACUCAGGGACCCUCAUCCUUUGGUACCCAAGGUGCCCAAGGAUUCUAGGCACGUCUACUGGGAACCGAAGGAUAUUGGGAUAGUGGCUCAAGGUGAAGCUUGAGCCACGUGCCGGAUGAAGUUCCCUGCUGCUGCUGCUGCUAAGUUGCUUCAGUCGUGUCCGACUCUGUGCGACCCCAGAGACGGCAGCCCACCAAGCUCCUCCAUCCCUGGGAUUCUCCAGGCAAGAAUACUGGAGUGGGUUGCCAUUUCCUUCUCCAACGCAUGAAACUGAAAAGUGAAAGUGAAGUUGCUCAGUUGUGCCCGACUAUGUGCGAUCCCAUGGACUGCAGCCUACCAGGCUCCUCCGUCCAUGGGAUGUUCCAGGCAAGAGUACUGGAGUGGGGUAUGAAGUCCCCUGGCGACCCCUUACCAGCGGGGCAAGGGUGUCCAUGGGAGCACAAGCCAUCUCUGGGAACAGAACAGCCCCAUGCAAAGGGGCUUGGAGGGAGAGUGAGGGGCUAAGGGAGCAGAGACAGAUGCAAAUGAGGGCUGGGCCAGCUUUCCCUUGAAAAGGGCCAUUUGCAUAGACACUCUGUGGCCUGGUGCCUGAGGGCAGCGAGAGCUCCUGGUCCGAGUUCCUGAAAUGCUGGCCUAACACGAGGUCAAGUUCACUGGGCUUAGAAUCUGUUUAAUGUUAAAACCUGUCUCCAUUUAUCUGGAUCUUUUAAGUCCUUUAAUGGAAUUUGUAUUUAUCCAUAAAGGCAUUUUUUGGGGGGGCCACCCCCCCUGCAUUGCACAGUGUGCAGGAUCCUAAUUACCCAACCAGGGAAUGGAACCCUAACCCCUGCAGUGGAAGCUGGGAGUCUCAACCACUGGAUCGCCAUGGAAGUUCUUGUCCAUACAGAUUUUAAGCACCCUUUCUUAGAUUAAAACCUUAUAUUUCCUGAUCAGAAACCUUAUCUUUCCACAGUUGUAUUUCCUGUCUACAGUAUUUUCAGGUUGUCUUGUAGGAAUGCUCUUGAGUUUUCUGUGUUGAUCUAGCUUGUGAAGACUCAUUUACAGGACUUCCCGGGCAGUCCAGUGGUUAACACUCAUGGCCCAAAAAAGAAAGAAAGAAGAAGUUUGUUGUUAUCAUUCUUUAGUAAGUUGUGUCCAGCUCUUUGUGACCGCACGGACUGUAGCCCGCCAAGCUUCUCUGUCCGUGGCAUUUCCCAGGCAAGGCUGCUAGAGUGGGUUGCCAUUUCUUCCUCCAGAGUGUCUUCCCCAUCCAGGGAUCAAACCUGAGUCUCCUGCGUUGGCAGGCAGGUUGUUUACCACUGAGCCGCCAGGGAAGCCCCAAAGAAAAAGACUCAUAUACCAUUUUCCCUAUAAAUCUAACUGAAGUCCACUCCCCUCCCCGACCAUGGCAUCAGUGCCCCUCCUUCCAGGGGCGUUGACCUGGGAGCAGGGUCUAUGACCCUGGUUCGGCAUCCCCUAAUCGUAAGGGGGGGAAUAGUAGUCAUCCCUGGCUACAGAAGUGGCUUCGAGCCGCACUCGUCAUGUCAUCUACUCUUUUAGGCCACGUGGCAGGUGGCUCUAGACUCACUCCAUAGCUUUUAACUGGUAGACCCCAGAACGAAUGGGCGAGGAUUUAGGCACCCGGAGUGGCCCCUGCGCUGGGUGUCUGUGUUGCUAACAGCCUUUUAGGGGUCUUAGAGACGUCCCCGGGACCCUCCCUGUCUGUGUGUGCGGGCCUGCUGGUUGGCAGCAGGGUUGGGGUGGGGUCGCUGGCGGCGGGGGCAGCCUGCUUUUAACACUUUGGCUGCAGGUGCCCUCGGCAGGUGGCUGCGCCCUUCCCCUCACCCUGCCUUGGGUGCCAGGGGCCACCCUCCUGGCUCCACCCACCAGGCCUGACCCGACAGCGCCUUUCAGCCCGCGGGGGAAGGGGCUGUCCUGACAGGUGCGGGCGGCAUCUGUCAGACUGGGGCUCUUUUGUGGCCCCUGUGGCUGUGUGUACACGUCAGCUCCCUCCAGACCCAGCGCCCGCGACCUGCCUUUCACGUCGCGCUUUCAUCUGGAACAGAUGUAAAACUGUUUCUCUCCCAGGAAACUGAAGCAGCCCGCUCGCUCCCUUUGAUGCAGACUCUGGCCAUGUAUUCUCUGUGGAACAAUGCUGUCCUUAUGCGAUUUCUUUCUCAAAGGCCAGGGUGCCCCAGACACCCAGAUACCUGUGUGCGCCAUCAGAUGACGUCAUGUCCAUCUCUGCGUGCAGCUUGGUUGCAUUGUUGAGAAUGACUUGUCUAGACUUGCCCGGCGGCACCUGGAGGACCCAGGAAACUUACCUGCCUGCCCACGAGCCCCUGCCCUGUCUGCGUUUCCUUUAGCGCUGAGAGCACGAGUGCGCUCUGGGUGUGGCUCUGCGUCCCUGUGCUUGCGUACCUCUUAGCCGCAGUUAGGAAUGAACAUUGGUCCACCCUGGCCUGGGGAGCAGGAGGCCCGGGUGUAAACCAGGUGAUUGUUGAUACAAUUAAUUUUUUUUGGGGGGGUGCCGCAUCCAUGGCAUGUGGGAUCUUAGUUCCCUGACCAGCAGUGGGACUGGUGCCCCCUGCCCUGGAAGCACAGAGUCCUAGCCACGGGACUCCAGGGAAGUCCCUACUCUUAAUUAUUAUUGAAAGAAUAGUGGAUUGAGGUACAGAGGUCAUAACAGUGCUGCUCCCCACCAGGCUGUGCAUCGGGAUGCCCCGAUGGCCCAGAGGUUAGGAACCUGCCUUGCAGUGCAGGGGAUGGAGGUUCAUACCCUGGUCGGGGAACCAAGAUUCCACAUACCUUGGAGCAACUAAAUGGGCGCGUCUCAACUAGAGAGUCGGAGCACCGGAACGAGAGGUCCCACGUGAUACACUGAGACCCAACACUGAGCCAAAUAAAUGGAUCAAUGUUUUCAAAACUGUUUUGACACUUAAAGGAGGUUCCUUCAUCCCCCAGCAGCCUAGUGGGGGGGGCUCCUGAUCCCUUACCUAUGAGAAAACUGUGACAUCUCACAGCUCCUGAGUGGAAGAGCUGGGAUUUGAACUCGGGCCCUUUGGCUCCUCACUGUGUUCUGGAGCGAAGGCUGUUUGAUACAGUGUGGGGUAAAUUCUGGUGAGCACUGGAGCGAAGGCUGUUUGAUACAGUGUGGGGUAAAUUCCGGUGAGCACCGUCAUAGGCCUAACCAGCUGUCACACAUGAUGAUGUAAACAGAGCUGCCCAGCCCGUGUCUGCUCCCUUUCAACCCCCGGGUCAGACUGAGACCUCAUUGACCGGAAAUGGGUUACAGGCCCACCACUAGCUUCAAGGCAUGCCGGCGAAAGUGAGAACAGAAGUAUUAGAACUGGUGAACACACGUCAGGGCCACCUCAGGGAAAGCUAGAUUUAUUAGCAAGGAGCCGGGGAGUGGAGAGCUGAGACAGUCAAGUGAAGAAAGGAGGUUAUAAAAUACUGGGGAAGGAAUGAUCCCAUUUUUUUUUUUAAGGUUCUCAUUGGUUAUCUGUUUAAUACAUUUUGUUGUUCAGUCACUAAGUGGUGUCCAACUCUUUUCAACCCCAUGGACUGCAGCACGCCAGGCUUCCUUGUCCUUCACCAUCUCCCAGAGUUUGCUCAAACUCAUGUCCAUUGAGUCGGUGAUGCCAUCCAACCUUCUCAUCCUCUGUCAUCUCCUUCUCUUCCUGCCUUCAGUCUUUCCCAGCAUCAGGGUCUUUUCCAAUGAGUCAGUUCUUCGCAUCAGGUGGCCAAAGGAUUGGAGUCUCAGCCUCAGCAUCAGUCCUUCCGAUGAAUAUUUAGGGUUGAUUUCCUUUAGGAUUGACUGGUUGAUCUCCUUGCAGUCCAAGGGACUCUCAAGAGUCUGCUCCAGCACCACAGUCCAAAAGCAUAAGUUCUUUGGCUCUCAGCCUUCUUUAUGGUCCAACUCUCACAUCCGUACAUGACUACUGGAAAAACCACGGCUUUGAUACAUGCCAAUCCCAAUCUCCCAGUUCAUCCAACCCCGCUCCAGGCGUGAUCCCGGCUUUGAAAACGUGUGUGCUAUGCUGUGCCUGUUUAAAAACUGACACUGUCUCUCUGGGAGUUGGCAUUGGGAAUGACUUUUCCUUGCUUAGCCUGUGAUAUGUGCCUCUUUCUGCUUAGGGGGAGUAGCAGUAUGAAGCUGGCAGAACCCAAGGAAUUGGCACUCUGGAUGGAGCCCAGCCUUAGUCCACUAUGACACCAGACAUUUGGGAUUUUUUGUUUGACUAUAGGCCUCUUGGGGAUAGCAUCAGAGCCUUGCAUUUAUAGUCCAAUUUUCUCUUUUUGGGGGGGCCACACCGUAUGACUUGCGGGAUCUUAGUUCCCCGACCAAGAAUUGAACCCGGGCCGCGGCCGUCAAAGUGUCAAGUCCUAACCACUGGAGCGCCAGGGAAGAAGUCCCUGAUUCUCUUUUCACAAAGGAAGAAGGCAAGACCCCUUAUAAAUCUUCUCCAAAUCCCUGAGAGAUGGAUGAGAAAGAACAGAGAGGCAUGGUGACCCUCCCAGAGGCACACAGCAGAAUUCAUGCCCGGGGAAGCCGGGGUAGAGGUAAGUGCUAGUAAAUGAUACCCCAGAUCGCACACUUCUGAGCAUCCGGUCCUUGUCUUUUUCUUCCAGAGAAGAAAUGUAUCAAGCAAGACCCCUCUCUAGGAACCUCUUUUUGUACACCUUCCUACAAAACCAUGGCCCAGGCUUCCUGGACGACCAAGACUCAGGGCUUCCUGGUGUGACCAGUAUCUUGGAGUUCCACCCCAUCUCCCCCUACAGUGACAGUCCACACUACCUGGCCAUGCAGCUGGCCUCCAUUGCCGAUGAGAUGGAGCUGAGGUUGCUGCUGCCCCAGUUCGUUGAGCCCUUCUGGAUGACCAUGUACAGCUUGUUUUUCCCCUACAGCCACGUAGGGCUCAGGGAUGUUCUGAGAAGCUUUAUGGCUGCUUUCACCAACCUUAGGGAGAACCGAAGGCUCUGGAGCUUCCUGACUCUCAGGGACCGGGUGUCGCCCAGCCUGUGGCCCGAGCUGGCGCUGUCCCUGCUGGUGGUGGCGAUGCUCAGCUGGGGGUGCCGCCCCCACUGACCGAACUGCUGGUCAGUGUGGGGGUGGGGCUGGCCCCUCCCUCUCGACCACCACCCUGGCGGUGGCCCUGUUUUGGUGGUGUUGUCUUUUAACUGUUUUCUGAUGAUGCUUUUUUUUUUUUUUUUUAAUUUAAACUCUGAGUGCUGGGACACUGAGGUUCAUACUAUUUUUUUCCUUUUUUUUUUUUUUUGUAAGAGAAAUGAAUUUAUUAUACCUCUGGGGUCGUUACUGGUUAAUGACCUGCUCUCCCGGUGCCAGCCUGCUCUGCGGUGGCCUGUCCUGGGACGGAGCCUCCCUCUCAUGGGUUGGUCGAACAGGGGGCGGCGGGGGGAGUGCUGGUCACACCCCCGUGUCUGGGAUGCCCGUGGCACAGAGAAUCUGCUGGAAUAGAUUUCUGUGGGGCGAGGAGAGCUCAAUAAAAUGUUGGUUUCCAGCCAGUCUCUGGUCCUCUCUGGGGGUCGGUGGGCUGCAUCCUGCCGGAGGGGUGUGGGGAAGGCAGGGCGUGCCCGGGUCACCAGGGCACCUGCGGCCCCACCCGGCUCCCAGCUCCUUCCUGCACCUUCCACGGCUGGCGUGCUGUUUGGCCUGCACGAGCUGGAUCACUCCCUCAUCACGUCUCGGUGCUUGAAGCCUGCUGUUCGGGAUACCUUCCUCUGGGCUGUCAGUGCCUCUUACAAUUGGGCCAUCUGCCCUCCUUGUGUCCGCUCAUCCAGGGCUACCUGCUGGGGAUCGUCAUGUCCACGGGGUGCAGAGAAGCUGCUGGGCAGGGGCGCCGGGGCAGGAAGCCAGGCUCCCACCCUGCGGGCUCAGCCCACCCCAGACCUGACCCAGGGCAGCUUCUAAACCCUGAGAGGGGGCCCUCUUUCCUCUGGUGCUGUCUCUCCACACCACCUCGUGCCAGCCCUGGGCUGGGGUGAGCCACCUUCCAGCUUCCCCACCCCCGUUCCAUUCCCCGGCCCUCAGCAUCUUUUGCAGUCUCAUCCUCCACCCCCGCCAGGACUCAGGGAUGGUGAGUCUUUGC
ensembl:lncRNA